AAUUUUAUUUUUCCCAGUCCUACUUAGCAUAGUCAAUGAAUGGGUAGCCCAAGGCAGCAUGUGUGGGAACUGUGAAUAUCCCAGUUACACAGUUUUAUUUUUUAAAAUUCCAUUUAACAAAUUAUGUAACCAAAAGGAACAUAUAUGAAAUAUUAAAUAAUUCUGAAAUUAUUCACAAUGAAAAAGGCGUUUCUUCUCAAGGACUGAGCAUCUAUCCUGUGAACAUCUGCUGGGUCAGAUGUUUGAUCUAGAAAAGUCUGUGGGGAGGUAAUGAUUGCUCAUCCAGGGGCUGUGUCCAAUUUUAUCACUUGAAAUUUUUAUUACUUUAAUGAAAGAUAGAAAUUUAAAGUCUCAAGUAUAAUUCUCUAAAUGACUUUGGGUCAUAAUGAAUAUGAGGUAACAUACUUCACCAGGCUUUGGAAUGGAGAACUGUCUUCCUCUAAAGUAGGAGUUGCCCUUGUUUCCAGGAUCUGGAUGGAAUCUCUGCUCUUCUCUUUUAAACUCUCUGAACCCUCAUUGCUCAGCCCCUCCCCUGCUUUGCAUGUUCCCUCAGAGCCCCAUGAAGAGCAUGUGCCCUCAAGGGAAGGCCUGAGGAGCAGCAGGCAGGACACACAGAAUGAUGGUGCCUGUUCUGCUCCUGGGGCUUCUGGGGCUCUACACCACAGGUACUUCUGGUGACAUUCUGUUGACUCAGUCUCCCUCCUCUCUGUCUGGGGCUUCUGGAGAGAAAAUCACCAUCACCUGCACAGCCAGUCAAAGUGUCAAGCACACUGGUGGGAAAACCUAUCUGAGCUGGUUCCAACAGAAAAGUGGACAAGUUAAGCAACUCAUUUACCAAGUUUCCAACUUACAGACUGGAGUCCCAUCGCGGUUCAGUGGCAGUGGGUCUGACAGAGAUUUCAGCCUCACCAUCAGCAGCCUGGAGGCUGAAGAUGCCGCUGUCUAUUACUGUUGGCAAGGUUCCUAUAGUCCUCCACAGUGAUACAGCCCAUAACACAAACCCCACAGCAGCCCCCUGAGCCUCCAUCUGGGCUGCUCCUCCUCCUCUGGCACCUGCUGCUCCUGCUCAGUCACCCUCUCUCUAUCUGCAGUUAUUUACAUUACAGCAAAGCCAAGACCAUGCAGCUGUUGAAACUGCCAGUCUGGGUUACAGUCAAAGGCCAUCCAGUUGAAUCCUUAAUAAUCUUAGAAGUAUUCUCUGUGACUGAUAAUGCCUUAUAUUUAUUUUCAAUUUCAGGCAGGUAGAAAAUAUCCCUUGUCUUAAAAAAAAAUCAUUAUGAGCCACUAUGAGGCAUCUGUGUUCUCCACGUGAAGGAUAGAAAAUAAGAUUUUCUAACUUAAACCAAGGCUGAA